UGGCUCAGAUUGAACGCUGGCGGCAUGCCUUACACAUGCAAGUCGAACGGCAGCACGGGAGCUUGCUCCUGGUGGCGAGUGGCGAACGGGUGAGUAAUACAUCGGAACGUACCCAGGAGUGGGGGAUAACGUAGCGAAAGUUACGCUAAUACCGCAUAUUCUGUGAGCAGGAAAGCGGGGGAUCGCAAGACCUCGCGCUCUUGGAGCGGCCGAUGUCGGAUUAGCUAGUUGGUGAGGUAAAAGCUCACCAAGGCGACGAUCCGUAGCAGGUCUGAGAGGAUGAUCUGCCACACUGGGACUGAGACACGGCCCAGACUCCUACGGGAGGCAGCAGUGGGGAAUUUUGGACAAUGGGGGCAACCCUGAUCCAGCCAUGCCGCGUGAGUGAAGAAGGCCUUCGGGUUGUAAAGCUCUUUCGGCGGGGAAGAAAUGGCAACGGCUAAUAUCCGUUGUUGAUGACGGUACCCGCAUAAGAAGCACCGGCUAACUACGUGCCAGCAGCCGCGGUAAUACGUAGGGUGCGAGCGUUAAUCGGAAUUACUGGGCGUAAAGCGUGCGCAGGCGGUUUCGUAAGACAGACGUGAAAUCCCCGGGCUCAACCUGGGAACUGCGUUUGUGACUGCGAGGCUAGAGUACGGCAGAGGGGGGUAGAAUUCCACGUGUAGCAGUGAAAUGCGUAGAGAUGUGGAGGAAUACCGAUGGCGAAGGCAGCCCCCUGNNNNAGUACUGACGCUCAUG
rnacentral:rRNA from 1 species